rnacentral:lncRNA from 1 species
AAAAGAAAGAUUCAGUUUUUUUUAAGUAAAUUUUAGUAAACGCUCAAUACCUGAGUAGACUUUUCAAGUUGAUAAUGCUUUCUGGGUGAUCUCAAACUUUGCAAUUGUUAUCUUGUCAAAAAAAAAAUCUUGAUACUUUUUAUGUACAAAAAAUUUACUUGUUACUAAUAUAACCUAACUCGCGUUGUUCUUUAGAUCUACUUUGUUCACUCCAAUAGUAUCAGAAAUCAAAUCAAUGCAUAGGAAAUGAAUNCGUUGUCAUACUAUAUAGAAUUCAGACUAUACCACACCACUUCUUUUACUGGAUCUUACGGAGCCUGUUGAUGCAGAAUAAAAUUGAGUCUGAUCAUAGAAAAGAUUCUCUUCAAGUAAAACCAGCCUACCCUAUCUGUAAGAGCCUCUCUUGGUGGUUGGAAAAAAGUCACAUUUAAUUGUAAAUUCUAAUGUGGCAGAUAAGAGAAAGUCAUAUAUCUGCGCGGUCAAAUAAAUAGUUCAAGUCACACUCCCAUAAUCCAAAAAAAAAAAAACAAAAAUUCAAUUUUUGUUAAGUUGAAGAAAAAUAUCUAAAUACAUGUUUUAUUUUUUUUUAUAAUCCAUAAUUGUAACAAUGAAAUAAAAUCCUCCCCAAAAUAAAAAAUGAUAGUGAUUACAUAUAUCUAUGAUCCAUAUUCACAAUAAAGGACCAGAAAUGCCUUGCUUAC